ACUACGGGUGGCAGCAGUGGGGAAUAUUGCACAAUGGGGGAAACCCUGAUGCAGCGACGCCGCGUGAGUGAAGAAGUAUUUCGGUAUGUAAAGCUCUAUCAGCAGGGAAGAAAAUGACGGUACCUGAGUAAGAAGCCCCGGCUAACUACGUGCCAGCAGCCGCGGUAAUACGUAGGGGGCAAGCGUUAUCCGGAUUUACUGGGUGUAAAGGGAGCGUAGACGGCAGCACAAGUCUGGAGUGAAAGGCCGGGGCUUAACCCCCGAACUGCUUUGGAAACUGUGCAGCUGGAGUGCAGGAGAGGUAAGUGGAAUUCCUAGUGUAGCGGUGAAAUGCGUAGAUAUUAGGAGGAACACCAGUGGCGAAGGCGGCUUACUGGACUGUAACUGACGUUGAGGCUCGAAAGCGUGGGGAGCAAACAGGAUUAGAUACCCGGGUAGUC
rnacentral:rRNA from 1 species